CGAUUACAAACUGAGGCCAUCAUCGAUUCUGGUUCUUUUGUUUCUGAAACCAUUCCUUUAAAGAUGAAUAUACAUCAUGACCAUUCUGAGUACUUAGUAUUUGAUGUUGUCAAGUCUCCUCUGUUUCCUGUCAUAUUAGAGAUGACCUGGUUACAGACACAUAAUCAUUCAAUCAUUUGGUCUCCUAUCAGCAUAGAUUUUCCUUCUAAACAUUGCCUAG